rnacentral:rRNA from 1 species
GAACGCUUUUUCUUUCACCGGAGCUUGCUCCACCGAAAGAAAAGGAGUGGCGAACGGGUGAGUAACACGUGGGUAACCUGCCCAUCAGAAGGGGAUAACACUUGGAAACAGGUGCUAAUACCGUAUAACAAUCGAAACCGCAUGGUUUCGGUUUGAAAGGCGCUUUUGCGUCACUGAUGGAUGGACCCGCGGUGCAUUAGCUAGUUGGUGAGGUAACGGCUCACCAAGGCAACGAUGCAUAGCCGACCUGAGAGGGUGAUCGGCCACAUUGGGACUGAGACACGGCCCAAACUCCUACGGGAGGCAGCAGUAGGGAAUCUUCGGCAAUGGACGCAAGUCUGACCGAGCAACGCCGCGUGAGUGAAGAAGGUUUUCGGAUCGUAAAACUCUGUUGUUAGAGAAGAACAAGGAUGAGAGUAAAAUGUUCAUCCCUUGACGGUAUCUAACCAGAAAGCCACGGCUAACUACGUGCCAGCAGCCGCGGUAAUACGUAGGUGGCAAGCGUUGUCCGGAUUUAUUGGGCGUAAAGCGAGCGCAGGCGGUUUCUUAAGUCUGAUGUGAAAGCCCCCGGCUCAACCGGGGAGGGUCAUUGGAAACUGGGGAACUUGAGUGCAGAAGAGGAGAGUGGAAUUCCAUGUGUAGCGGUGAAAUGCGUAGAUAUAUGGAGGAACACCAGUGGCGAAGGCGGCUCUCUGGUCUGUAAC